rnacentral:rRNA from 1 species
GUCUGCUGUUAAAAGUGGAGCUUAACUCCAUCGUGGCAGUGGAAACUGUUGGGCUACAGUGUAGUAGGGGCAGAGGGAAUUCCCGGUGUAGCGGUCUUAUGCGUAGAUAUCGGGAAGAACACCAGUGGCGAAGGCGCUCUGCUGGGCCAUAACUGACGCUCAUGGACGAAAGCCAGGGGAGCGAAAGGGAUUAGAUACCCCUGUAGUCCUGGCCGUAAACGAUGAACACUAGGUGUCGGGGGAAUCGACCCCCUCGGUGUCGUAGCCAACGCGUUAAGUGUUCCGCCUGGGGAGUACGCACGCAAGUGUGAAACUCAAAGGAAUUGACGGGGGCCCGCACAAGCGGUGGAGUAUGUGGUUUAAUUCGAUGCAACGCGAAGAACCUUACCAGGGUUUGACAUCCUGCGAAUCUCCUGGAAACGGGAGAGUGCCUUCGGGAACGCAGUGACAGGUGGUGCAUGGCUGUCGUCAGCUCGUGUCGUGAGAUGUUGGGUUAAGUCCCGCAACGAGCGCAACCCACGUCUUUAGUUGCCAGCAUUCAGUUGGGCACUCUAGAGAGACCGCCGGUGAUAAACCGGAGGAAGGUGUGGAUGACGUCAAGUCAUCAUGCCCCUUACAUCCUGGGCUACACACGUACUACAAUGCUACGGAUAAAGGGCAGCAAACUCGCGAGAGCUAGCAAAUCCCAUAAACCGUGGCUCAGUUCAGAUCGUAGGCUGCAACUCGCCUACGUGAAGGAGGAAUCGCUAGUAAUCGCAGGUCAGCAUACUGCGGUGAAUACGUUCCCGGGCCUUGUACACACCGCCCGUCACACCAUGGAAGUUGGCCACGCCCGAAGCCGUACUCCAACCCUUGUGGAAGAGACGUCGAGGUGGGGCUGAUGACUGGGGUGAAGUCGUAACA